UACGUAGGGCGCAAGCGUUGUCCGGAAUUAUUGGGCGUAAAGAGCUCGUAGGCGGCUUGUCACGUCGGGUGUGAAAGCCCGGGGCUUAACCCCGGGUCUGCAUUCGAUACGGGCUAGCUAGAGUUCGGUAGGGGAGAUCGGAAUUCCUGGUGUAGCGGUGAAAUGCGCAGAUAUCAGGAGGAACACCGGUGGCGAAGGCGGAUCUCUGGGCCGAUACUGACGCUGAGGCGCGAAAGCUAGGGGAGCAAACAGG
rnacentral:rRNA from 1 species